AAACGAUACACGGUAAUGCGUUUUAUAUAUAAUGAAAUUGGAUUGACAGUUGUCCAAUUGAUGACGUGUGAUAGUUAAAUAGUGUUUUAUUACUAGUUUAUCAUUGCUUGAUUAAAGGGGUUUACAGAAUAGAGAAGAAUGCAUGGACCAAGAGUAAAGAGAAGUUUACCAAACAUAUAAAAAGAACAAUUAAAAAAGGGGAAAAAAGAGAAAUAAUUAGGAGAAUAAUUGGCUGAAAAAAAGACAAAAAAAGAGAAAUAAUUAGAAUGCAAAAAUAUGGAAAUAGAGAAUAAUGGGCAACAAAAUAGACAAUACAGACAC
rnacentral:lncRNA from 1 species